rnacentral:lncRNA from 1 species
CUAGACAGCCAAAUUGGAAUUCGACCCGUGAAUCCACAUCCACUUAAACCCAGGACUUGAAGAUUUUGGAACUCGCCAGCUCUUAUCAAGUUUUCUCCAGGCAGUGGUUCAUUAUAAAAUUUUUUUGAGAGGAUUAAAGUGCUGAGGUUCUUGCAACCUGUUAGGAUGCGCAUAGCACUGGUGAUAUUGUUUAGGCUAUUAUUAGAAAGGGAUAAGAGGGAUAGAGAUUGUAAUGCCAUUAUGUCAGGAAAAAUCUCUCCAUUUAAAAUAUUAGAAGCCAAGCGAAUUGCAGUCAAAUUCUUGCAUAAAAAAAGGCUCGAUGGCAAUCUACCUCUGAAGAAAUUAUUCCCGAGGUCAAUGGAUCUAAGCUGAAUGAAUUUGGAGAAAUUAAAAGCGGAAAGUUCACCUUCAAGGAGGUUGACCCUUAAAUUCAGCGUUUUAAGUCUCGUACAAUUCGUAAGAGAUUGGGGCAGAGUUCCAUUUAAUUUAUUUAUGUGAAGCCACAACUGUUCCAAGUUGGAGAGCCUCCCAAUAUCUUGAGGAAUCGUUCCUGUCAAUUCAUUACCAUAGAGAGAAAGGUUUCUAAGGUUAAUGAGGUUAACAAUGCUUCCGUCUAUCACUCCAGAGAGCUUAUUGGCAGGCAAGUACAGUUCUUGCAGUGAUGAAAUCAUGUAAAUAUCACUGGGAAUGACACCCGAAAAGUUAUUGAAACCUGCUCGUAGUCUCCAUAGAUUGUGACACUGGCCAAAACCGUGUGGAAUUGGGCCUACAAAGUCAUUGUUGGAGAAAUCAAGAUGCACAAUUGAAGGCGAAAAUCUGCAGACAGAUGAAGGGAUUGAACCAGCGAAUCUGUUAUUGCUGACAUCAAAUAUUUGCAAAUUCAAUGCUGGCUGGAGAAACGAAGAUUGGAUUAUCCCAUAAAAGCGGUUGCUGGAUAAAUCCACUGUCAUGACAGUACUCAUCAGCUUAUCAGAAUCUGAUAGCUGUCCGGUAAGACGAUUAUGGCUUAUAUCAAUGAAUACCAGGCGGUUCAAGGCCGAAAAAAAUCCAUCCGAGAUAGGACCAGAAAGCCGAUUCCGUGACAAGUUGAGUUGAUUGAGACUGGUGAGGUUUACAAUAAAAGGAGAUAUGGUUCCAACUAGCCCUUUCGACGGUAGCAAUAGACUGUUCACUCUGCCACUCUCAUCACAUCUGACUCCUUCCCAGCUGCAGCAAUCAAAAGAAAGAGACCAAUUCAAAGGAGAUGGAGUACUAAUACUCAGAUUGAAUAAUGAUAAAGAGUUUCGAUCUUGUUCAUUACAUGAGCCAUGGCAGGUAUAUACAGAUCUAGAAAGAGUCACCAGUACUACAGUUAACAGCAAAUCCAAGAAACACCAGUAGGACGAGGAAGAAGACUGGAAUGGAGACAAGAACAUGGCUGAAAUGAGUUGAUGACUGUGUAGGAUUUGAUUCAAGAUGGGUUUAUUGUGUUCUGAUGAUUAUUAGGAAAACAACAGAAGAUGAAGACAGAUGAAGGUACCAAAGAUAUUCCAAUCAAUCAUGUGGGUUGUCUCAUCCAAGUUCGUGCAGACUUUAGUCUUCUGCCCACCAAAGAGGAGGAAGGAGAGAGAGGAUUGAGAGGAAGAUAGAGUGGGUGAUGUUGACAUGAAGCAAUAUUAAAAGUUGAGUCUAAAUUAUCAGAAACAAAAAAAUGCGUUUACUUUUG